rnacentral:lncRNA from 1 species
GUCUCCAGUUAUAAAUCAGUAAGUCUUAGUUGCACUCUUGUUUCCAAUCAGAGUCUGAGAGCAAGGUCAUUAGACAGUCUGUAAAUGUUUCUUCCUACAAAUUGGUCCCUGGGAAGCAAAGGAAGCUAAUUUGUUCCUGUCUCCUUGUACAUUUCCCAUUGAAAAUGGCACCUCUGACAAAGCUCAUAGGUUACAUUAUACGUCUAUAUGGGGUUGCAGCAUCUUAUGUGACAGGAACAAAGAUAUUAAAGUCUGCGUUUCCAAAGCCUUUGCCCUUACUUGUCUUCUACCGAAGGUUCAGUAAGUGUGCUGCUUUGCUGAUAAAUGGAUUGGGUGGGUAGGGGAGUCUGAUUGACUAAACAAGAAAUAGCAUGAUGGAAACAGAGGGAGACAGAAGGAGGGGGUGUGUAGGAAGUGAGCAAGUGUUCUGAGAGAACUAGAGAAGAGAGAUUUUAGGAGAAUGUCCGGCUCAUUGAGUGAGACUUCAGCGAAAGAGACAUCUAAAGAAGGUACUAAAGAAAAUUUGGGAUUGAGGUUAACACCCUGGCCUGAAGCACUGACAUCCCAUAUGGCACCGGUUCGAGACCCAGCUGCUCCACUUCCCAUCCAGCUCUCUGCUGUGGCCUGGGAAAGCAGUAGAAGUUGGCCUAAGGACUUGGGCCCCUGCACCUGUGUGGGAGAUCUGGAAGAAGCUCCUGGCUCCUGGCUUUGGAUCCACACGGUUUCGGCCAUUGUAGCCAACUGGGGAGUGAACCAUCAGAUGGAAGACCUCUCUCUUUCUCUCUGCCUCUCCUCUCUCUGUGUAACUUUGACUUUUGAAUAAAUAAUCUUUUUUAAAAAAGGCAAGUACAGUUACUUACAAAAUACUGUAUGUGUCAGGAUAUAAAGGCAAGGAAAAUUCCAUUUUAUAAUGAUCAAUUAAGUUUAUUCCAGAAUCUCCCUCUCCCCAAACAAAAUCUUAAAAGUAUUAAAAAUUAUUUUUCCUUAAAUUGUAUUUAUUGCUUUGAGAGGCAGAGAGACAGCGACAGAGAGAAAGUGCUCCUACUGCUGGUUCUCUCCCCAAAUCCCUGAAAUACAUGGGGCUGGGCCAAGGCCAAAAUUGGGCACCAUUAUGCAAUCCAGGUCUCCCAGCUGGUUGACAGGAACCCAGUCACUUUAGCUGUCAUUGCUGCCACCCAGAUUUAGCUGCAAGCUGCAGUUGGGUGAUGGCACUGGGUAUUAAACCCAGUCAUCUGAUGUGGAAUGCAGGUAUCCUUACCACUAGCUAAACCCCUACUCCCAGAAACUACUUGUUAAAUAAAAUUUAAAUAUAGAAAUACCUUAUAUUUAUA